rnacentral:rRNA from 1 species
AGAGAGAGACAUGCGCGCAUAUCAAUAAGCGGAGGAAAAGAAACUAACAAGGAUUCCCUUAGUAACGGCGAGUGAAGCGGGAAGAGCUCAAAUUUGAAAUCUUCAAGGUUUUACCUUGACGAAUUGUAGUUUAAAGAAGUGUUUUCUGCUGAAGUUUUGGUAAAAGUUCUUUGGAAUAGGACAUCAUAGAGGGUGAGAAUCCCGUAUUUGACCAUUAUUUUCAGCUUUGUGAUACACUUUCAAAGAGUCGGAUUGUUUGGGAAUGCAGUCCAAAAUGGGUGGUAAAUUUCAUCUAAAGCUAAAUAUUGGCGAGAGACCGAUAGCGAACAAGUACCGUGAGGGAAAGAUGAAAAGAACUUUGAAAAGAGAGUUAAACAGUACGUGAAAUUGUCAAAAGGGAAGCGUUUGACACCAGUGUUGUUUUCUCGAAAAUCAAUUAAAAAUGGCUCGAUUUUGUAUUGCUUGAGACCUUAAAAGCUCACUGUACAUUUUUCGUGUCUUUUUUAAUGCACUUUUCGUUUAACAAGUCAACAUCAGUUUCUUUUGUUGUAAAAGGGUCAUUGGAAGGUGGCUUUCUUUUCGGAGAAAGUGUUUAUAGCCUUUGGCCUCUGCAAUCGGAGAGACUGAGGUCUGCAGCGUAGACUCUUCGGGGUUAGAUACAUUUGUGCUAAGUUAUAGCUUUUUAUAGACAACUUGUUGACUAUAAUUAGUCUUAUAGCUUACUCGCUUAUGCUAUUUUACCUACGCUUAGGAUGUUGAGUCGUAGAGCACGCAG